GCACCGGAGACCUCUUGCAGAUAUAGCAGUAUCCCCUACGAAAUGUUGUUUGGGUUACCUUAUUUGGGAAAGAUAGAAGGAAUACCCACCCUAGAGGGUAGUGAGGUUUUUCUUAAGGAACUAUUUACU